ACAAAAUAACUAUAUCGUCAAUGGUUUGAUAACGAGUGAAAAAUGCUGCUUUGAUGUGUUGAUCGUUUUGUAUUUAAACAUAUUUGUAUAGUGUAAAUACUUUACUUAAUAAAAAAAACUUAUUCAAGUGGUUGUUUGAUACAUUCGAUCAUGGGUUACCCGUGGAUUAUGCUUUACAGUGCGCGUGAAAGGAAUCAUAAGAAAAGUAGAAUGAUGACGAGUGGUCUUGGAAUCUCUGCUGUAUGUUUGAUCUUAUGUUUGGGGAGGAUACAAGCUAACAACUACUCUGAUCCAUAUAUUUGCUAUGGGGACGUUUGUAACUCUGAAAGCCCUGCCCAGUUCUGCGAUGUAGUGUACAUGCACUGUCGGCGUUGUGACGAUAUCAGAGGCGACUGUUUCACCCGCCAUCAAACGUUCAACUGCACAGAAUAUUGUUAUGAAAUUCGAUAUAAGGAAGAGGUCGAAAAACUUCGAGUUGCAGGAUGCGAACUUCUUCCUCCUCCAAACAAUGGACACCUUAAUGAAAACAGAACACAUGUGCCAUUUAAUUAUACGUUAACAUUCACAUGCAACGAUGGUUAUGUACCUCUGUACAUAUAUCCCGUUCGAUGUGGCGAAUUCGCAAUUUGGAUUGGACCUCCACCGAAAUGUGAAAGUUCAACGACUGAGGCACUUACUGCAUUGACAAUCACUUGCGGUGUUUGUUUAGUUCUGUCUUUACUUGUUAAUAUAUUUCUUCUGCAAAGUCAAAUUCGUCGUUGGCGAAGGAAUUUGAAGAAGAAACAAAAAUCGUCUAAGGAAACUAAAAGACUAUUAAAUUCAAACAAAGGUGAUGGCAAAAUGCGCAACGGAACCGGUCCAUCUGCAGUAUGGCCCGUUCCUGCAGCCACCGCUCCACAAGAACAAGAACUUGAUGACGUUAUUUUCUUCGAUUCAGACAACACUAACUUGAGUCAACCUCCAGACACAAUCCAAAAUGGCAAUGGCAGUAGGCCCGCAGGAUGCGAUCAAACACCUAAACCAGAUGCACAAAUACGUUCCUGUAAUGGUCUCACUGGGCAUGCGGAGGAGGGAGUUGCGCACGAUGACUCUUCAUCGCGUUCAUCGAGUGAUGAGGACAUCAACAAUCCUGUCGCAAUCGGCGGAACUACUGUGGGGAACAUAAUUAAUAAUAUUACCAAUACCAAUGUCCAUCUUCAUGUAAUUUCAACGCCGACACCCACUCCAGUAGGUCCUUUGACAGCAGCAUGUCAACCACAGGAGCCGGAAAGUCCACAAACGGACAAACGACCUGUUGAAGAGACUGAUAUUUUAGGAUCACAGCCCGGUGCUCCAUCACAAACAGUCUGGGCUAUUCCUCCAGAAAAUGACGAUACUACCCUGAAAAGCACCGAAUAAAAGCUAUUGUGUUGUUUUUUUAAUCAUGUAUAACCCGAUUUAUGACUGACAAUGACAUUCUGCAAAUUUAAUCGUACGGAAUGCUAAUAAAAGUAAAAACACGUUAUAUCAAAUAUUGAAGCAUUGAAUAGUGAUAGCAAUUCAUAUAGUAUUGUAAAGUAUAAAUGUACACUCAAAACAUGUUACAACGGACACAAUCAUGUAAAGGAUUCAGCUAAAGCUGGAGUAGGACCUUUACAUGUUAUAGCACAAAGCAUUUAUCGUUAUAAUCAACUGCAUGCUGUGCAUCUAAAGCUGUAUUUUUCAUCAGUAUUACGUUUUAUGUACACCUGCUUAGUCAUGCUUAUAUUAUGUUUAUUAUGAGUGCAAUUGUGCACAAUUAUUGUAUAUAUAUCACAGUCGCGUAUGCUCAAAUAUGAUACAUGUAAUAUCUGUUAUACAAUAGUAAUAGAAAAAUAAUUAUACAUUGAAAAGGAAGGUUUGUGAACGCAUUGCGACACAUAAGUUGUAUGUGGUUGAUUGUUCGCGUUGUUCGUGACUUAAGUUAUGAUAUUGUUAUAAAAGUUGUAGAAAUAACCGCUUAAUGGAAAUAUGAUUCUAUAGUUAGUUGUCGAAUACAUUAUUCGAAUGAAUGAUUUGAAUUUUGCUAAGUAACAGUGGGAACUUUCACUUUUAUGUUGGAAUUGAAAUCUCUAAUGCCUACUAAUAAAGGAUUUUUGCGUACUUGUAGUCGGUGUCUCUAAAGGGCAACCCCAAGUCUUAGGCUAGUAUUCCAUCUAUCCGCAUCCGUAUCAGCAUCCGUAUCCGCAUCCGUAUGCGCAAAAUCAUAAUACGGACGCUAUAUUCCAUUUAUCAGCAUUAUACGUCGAACGUAUCGUUUUAUUUGGGAAAACAAAAUACAUGGAUAAAACUGAAAAUUAUAAUUGAGAUAAUUAUUAUGAAGGACAAGCAUGAUUUAAAGUAAAUAUAAGGUACAAAUCAUCAUUCUGUCCGUAAAAUAAUACAAAUGGUAAAUACCUGAAACAUCUUCUAGUGACUUGGCUAUGCUUUUCGAAACAUUUGAAGUUAAAUUAGAGUCCCGAUAUGCAGAACUGCGUAGGUUGUAUAAUUUUUGAUAAUUUUUUACGAAUUCGAUUAGUUUUUCAGUUGAUUUUUGAGAUGACAGCUUCCCUCAUCGUGCUAAAUGCAAUCCGUAUCUUGUCCGCAUCCGUAUUAGAAUGCUCACUUGAGCAUUAUUUUGUGAAUGGGCGCGUGCGAAUAUGCGGAUGCGGAUGAAUGGAAUAAGUGCAGUGAAUUUAAACUUGUUCAAUUUUUUUUGCGGAUGCGAAUAUGCGGAUGCGGAAACGGACAGAUGGCAUACUAGCCCUAGUUAUCACUUUGAUUUAGUACAAUUUAAAGCAUUCGUAAUUUAAUUUAGAAUCAUUCUGAUUCAUACAUUUUAUUUCAUCUUAUUGUGCCUCAGCCUUUGUUGUGAGAAUUGUAGAGACCAUUGGGCUACCAGUGCACGAUCUUAACACAUAAAAGUAUCGCUCUUUUUGUUUUUAAGAUAAUGUGGACAAUGUUCUGUUUCAUCACAUUUCAUUGUAAUCAACAUAAUUCAAUGAUUAGUAAAUCAUUGAAUACACAAUACAAAUAAUGCUACCACCAACACUAACUGUAUUAGAUAAGGGGUUAAUAGAAGACCGAAACGGCUGCUGCAAAUUGUCGGUUGUUCCUUUACAGUUAUUUUAAGAUUCUUUACAAUUUACUUGCAAAACAUUCAGAGUUGUUUUGUGCAUUCCUUUUAUAAAUAAUGCGUUCAUAUUGUAUUUACUGAGAAUUUUACACGCUAUUAUUUUCAUUAGUUUGUGUUCCAAUAUAUAGCCAUUUAAAGCAUACUACUAUGUGCUUUCAACACAAAUAUCCAAGUCAUGACAUGUCAAUCUUAAGAUUCCACAAGUGUGGCCAAGAAAACAAUGGUAAAUGUCUGCGUAACAUGUUCGUGAGGAUAAGUUUUACAAAAGAUCAUUAAAACGCUCCUUUAAAAGGAGUGGCGCCAUGCAUUGUAUGUUUUGUAAGGUAUUUAUUAUAAUUUCGUUUAAUUGUAAUAGAAUUUUCCCUCAUCUUCAGUAUUGUUGAAAAAGUUUUGAAAACACAAACUACUCAUAGAAGAUUGAAUUUAUAGCGCUACACCAUUUUACGAUUUAAUAGUGAUAAUGCCCAAAUGAAAUAGCUUAGUUCCGAAUACCCUUUGAAUUAAACGUUGUUUUAAUGGAAACAAUUUUAUAUACUCGAUGAUGUCAGUAAUCAACAAGUAUAAUUUUUAGUUAAUUGCUUAUAAUUAAAUACUGCAAAUAUGAUAUCAUUUCUGUUAUAAGUGUAAUGUACACAAUGAAACAACUCAUGCUUUUAUCACGCAGAGGCAUUGCAAUUCACUUUUGGAUUUAUAUCAUUCACGGGAACCCACUUCUAUAAAAUUAGACUUGAGUGAAUAUGAUCAGGUGAAUACAGGUGCAGUUAACCGGUUGGGAUCCUCGGCAUGAAUCGUGCGUGUUGUUACAGUUAUUUAUUACUGCUAUAGUUAUUUAUUAAUAGGCCAUUGGGAAUACACCUGUGGCAAAUAGUAUUAUACUUACUUUUGUUUGCUGGGUUUUCCUUAAGAUUUCUAUUUCUGUUUGGGAAAUCCGUUAAGAGCACGGAAAUACUUUCCUUGUUAAUUCCGAUUUGUAUUGCGUAACCGGGGAUACUUAACUUGGAUUAUGUUGUUUAAAUUUUCAGUUAUGUUCCGUAUAAUAACGACGGUAACAGGUUUGAUCAUAUGCGUCGCUUUCACGAUCGAUCAACCAUCUGGCAAUCAGUUUCCAAAACCCUACAGUUGCUAUGGUGACGUGUGUAAUUCGAAUUCUUCGGCAGAGUUUUGUGACGUUGUAUAUCGACUAUGCCGUCGAUGUGAGGAUGUCAAGAAUGAUUGCUUUUCCAGAAUGAUGACGUACAACUGUACAGAGUUUUGUUAUGAACGGCGAUAUUUGCUUGACACAGAACAACUUCGGGUGUCAGGAUGCAUGGUUCCCUCAGCUCCUGAACAUGGAAGUUAUGAUGUAGACACGACCCACGUAGCAUACCAAGCACCGUUAAAAGUCACGUGUGAUAAAGGAUAUAGUCUUAAAAAUGAAGAUCAGUACACAUGCAGCAAUUUCUCCGUGUGGACUGGUUGUUUUCCUGUAUGCGAAGCUUCCGAUAAUUCGGUAGUGAUACACGUUGUGUUAACGGUUAUCCUGCUGAUCGUCGUUGUCAUGUGCGGGGUCGCAGUAAUAAUGUUCAGAAGAAGAUGUAGCAGAAAAGCGGAACUUACGGGUCAGCAACAGGAGCAAGCGCAGACAUUUGUUUCAAACUGAAUGAGUGUUAAGCUACUUAUUAUUACAUACUAUAAGGUUAAUAAAUAAUACUUAACGAUA